rnacentral:rRNA from 1 species
AGUCGAACGGCAGCGCGGGGCAACCUGGCGGCGAGUGGCGAACGGGUGAGUAAUAUAUCGGAACGUACCCUGGAGUGGGGGAUAACGUAGCGAAAGUUACGCUAAUACCGCAUACGAUCUAAGGAUGAAAGUGGGGGAUUCGCAAGAACCUCAUGCUCCUGGAGCGGCCGAUAUCUGAUUAGCUAGUUGGUGGGGUAAAGGCUCACCAAGGCUUCGAUCAGUAGCUGGUCUGAGAGGACGACCAGCCACACUGGAACUGAGACACGGUCCAGACUCCUACGGGAGGCAGCAGUGGGGAAUUUUGGACAAUGGGCGCAAGCCUGAUCCAGCAAUGCCGCGUGAGUGAAGAAGGCCUUCGGGUUGUAAAGCUCUUUUGUCAGGGAAGAAACGGUGAGGGCUAAUAUCCUUUGCUAAUGACGGUACCUGAAGAAUAAGCACCGGCUAACUACGUGCCAGCAGCCGCGGUAAUACGUAGGGUGCAAGCGUUAAUCGGAAUUACUGGGCGUAAAGCGUGCGCAGGCGGUUUUGUAAGUUUGUCGUGAAAGCCCCGGGCUCAACCUGGGGAUUGCGAUGAAGACUGCAAGGCUUGAAUCUGGCAGAGGGGGGUAGAAUUCCACGUGUAGCAGUGAAAUGCGUAGAGAUGUGGAGGAACACCGAUGGCGAAGGCAGCCCCCUGGGUCAAGAUUGACGCUCAUGCACGAAAGCGUGGGGAGCAAACAGGAUUAGAUACCCUGGUAGUCCACGCCCUAAACGAUGUCUACUAGUUGUCGGGUUUUAAUUAACUUGGUAACGCAGCUAACGCGUGAAGUAGACCGCCUGGGGAGUACGGUCGCAAGAUUAAAACUCAAAGGAAUUGAC